rnacentral:tRNA from 1 species
GCCCCCGUAGUUCAAUGGAUAGAACAAUCCCGUCCUAAGGGAUAAAUCUGGGUUCGAUUCCUGGUGGGGGCA